CGGGGCUUAAAGUCUUGUAAUUGGAAUGAUGGGAAUUUAAACCUCUUCCAGAGUAUCAAUUGGAGGGCAAGUCUGGUGCCAGCAGCCGCGGUAAUUCCAGCUCCAAUAGCGUAUAUUAAAAUUGUUGUAGUUAAAAAGCUCGUAGUUGAAUUUCUGCUGCAUUGCUUGUGUCCCUCUGGGGUCUGUGCAUGUGGCUUUUUUCGGACGGAGUUUCUUUGUCUGAAUGUUUACUUUGAGAAAAUUAGAGUGCUCAAAGCAGGCUUUCGCCUUGAAUAGUUUAGCAUGGAAUAAUAAAGUAGGACUUUGGUUCUAUUUUGUUGGUUUUAGGUACCAAAGUAAUGGUUAAUAGGAACAGUUGGGGGCAUUCGUAUUUAACUGUCAGAGGUGAAAUUCUUAGAUUUGUUAAAGACGAACUACUGCGAAAGCAUUUGCCAAGGAUGUUUUCAUUAAUCAAGAAC
rnacentral:rRNA from 1 species